AUGGGAGGUUUGAUCCUGGCUCAGGACGAACGCUGGCGGCGUGCCUAAUACAUGCAAGUCGAGCGAAGAAUUUCUGGUGCUUGCACUAGAAAUUCUUAGCGGCGAACGGGUGAGUAACACGUAAAGAACCUGCCUUAUAGACUGGGAUAACUACGGGAAACUGUAGCUAAUACCGGAUAACAACAUUUUCCGCAUGGGAGAUGUUUAAAAGUUGGUGAAGCUAACACUAUAAGAUGGCUUUGCGGAGCAUUAGCUAGUUGGUGGGAUAAAAGCCUACCAAGGCGACGAUGCAUAGCCGACCUGAGAGGGUGAACGGCCACAUUGGGACUGAGACACGGCCCAAACUCCUACGGGAGGCAGCAGUAGGGAAUCUUCCGCAAUGGACGAAAGUCUGACGGAGCAACGCCGCGUGAGUGAAGAAGGAUUUCGGUUCGUAAAGCUCUGUUGUUAGGGAAGAAAGGUUGUGUAGUAACUAUACACAAAACAGACGGUACCUAACCAGAAAGCCACGCU
rnacentral:rRNA from 1 species